GCCGGGAUAGCUCCGU
rnacentral:tRNA from 2 species